UACAGGAAUUUGCUGAGAAUGAAGUGCCUU
rnacentral:piRNA from 1 species